GCCGGUGUAGCUCAGUUGGUAGAGCUACUGAUUUGUAAUCAGUAGGUCGGGGGUUCGAGUCCCUUCACCGGCU
rnacentral:tRNA from 1 species